rnacentral:rRNA from 1 species
AGUGAACGCUGGCGGUAGGCCUAACACAUGCAAGUCGAACGGCAGCACAGUAAGAGCUUGCUCUUACGGGUGGCGAGUGGCGGACGGGUGAGGAAUACAUCGGGAUCUACUUUUUAGUGGGGGAUAACGUAGGGAAACUUACGCUAAUACCGCAUACGACCUACGGGUGAAAGCAGGUGAUCUUCGGACCUUGCGCGAUUGAAUGAGCCGAUGUCGGAUUAGCUAGUUGGCGGGGUAAAGGCCCACCAAGGCGACGAUCCGUAGCUGGUCUGAGAGGAUGAUCAGCCACACUGGAACUGAGACACGGUCCAGACUCCUACGGGAGGCAGCAGUGGGGAAUAUUGGACAAAGGGCGCAAGCCUGGUCCAGCCAUACCGCGUGGGUGAAGAAGGCCUUCGGGUGGUAAAGCCCUUUUGUUGGGAAAGAAAAGCAGCAGGUUAAUACCCCGCUGUUCUGACGGUACCCAAAGAAUAAGCACCGGCUAACUUCGUG